UACGUAGGCAGCGAGCGUUGUUCGGAAUUACUGGGCGUAAAGCGUGCGUAGGCGGUUCGUUAAGUUCGUUGUGAAAGCCCCGGGCUCAACCUGGGAAUGGCAAUGGAAACUGGCGGGCUGGAGUAUGGCAGAGGGGGGUGGAAUUCCGCGUGUAGCAGUGAAAUGCGUAGAGAUGCGGAGGAACACCGAUGGCGAAGGCAGCCCCCUGGGCCAAUACUGACGCUCAGGCACGAAAGCGUGGGGAGCAAACAGG
rnacentral:rRNA from 1 species